CCAGAAGUCUUACUCAAGCGGAAACAUGUCCCAUCUUUUUUAUUGCGCAUGCGCGAGCUAAACAAGUGUAAUGCAAUGUUGACAAUAGAAAAUUAUAUUGGGAAGUUGUCAUUCCUACAGUAAAAACAGCUUUUUUUCAAGUAGUACGAAAUGUGACUUCGAUUUAUUUGUGGAACUAUUUGAACAGAAGGUAAAGCAGUAAUUUUGUUGUAUUUAGAAAGCAAACAGGGUCAUAUUUUAAAGAAAAUAGCGCACUAAAUAUAAAUUUGAGCAUCAUUAAAAUGUGUUCGCUAUGAUGCCAUUUUGUCUCGAGUAUAUACGGAGUACUGCUUUUAUACUGGUGGAUAUUCGAAUUUAUUUGGCUCAAAAGCACCAUUACUUCAAUAUCCCUUUCUUGUUUUUCCUUGGAUAGGUUUUAACAAGAUAGAACUCUAGAUCACUUGGGUCCAAAAACGCUAGAUUAUAAAAUCCUGAUGUGACUUGAUACUACAAAUAGAAUAUGUCUUGUGAUGUAAUACUACAAAUAGAAUGACAAACUUCAAUGAAUUGAUAAAGUGUAAGGAUAGUGUUUAAAGUUGCUUCAUGUGUAGAAGCUGAAUUACUUUAGUUUUUACACUGUAAUGUCGAUAUCACAUGUUGAUGACUUUAAUACUAGCAACUUGCAAUAAGUGGUCUUUCCUGCUUGUUUAUAAUACUUUAGAGUUUGGACAUUAGAACAUUGUAAUUGCCUGACAGAGACUGUUAGGGGCUGUUUGUAUGGAAGCCGGGCUGGCCCGCUUAGCGAGACAGCCCGGUAAGGUAGAUACGCAGGAUGAUUUCUCUUGUGUUUAUUUGAGAAAAUUUCAUCCUGCUUACCGGGACAAUUUUGUUGUUUUGACAGUUGUUAAAAAUAGCUUGCGGCAGUAUCGUUGAACUUUCAUCCUGGCAACUGGGCUAGCCUGCUUGUGAUUGUUUAUAUGGAGAAAUUUCCAUCCUGGUCUCUGCAACAGGGCCUCCCGCUUGUACAUAGAAACAAUUUUAAUUAUAAUUUUUACUAUAAAAAUAAGUAGACAGCGAGAUCUCACUUACCGGGCUGUCUCACUUAGCGGGCCAGCCAGUUUCGAUAUAAACAGGCCCUUAAAAGCUGCAAGUUUCCUUAAAGCAAUAUCGUCUAUAUCACAGAAUACAGUUUCUGUAGUGACAUACUUUGUGUGUUUUCUGUCUUUAAAGUGUCUUAUGUUUGUAAUAUUUUUGUACAAUACCUUUUUAAAAUUGUUGAUACUGGUCUCAUUGUAACUCAGUUAUUCCUUCUCAAGAAAAAUAAAAAAAAAAGCUGUGUGGGUGUGUUUUUGCUCUAGUUUUUACAUCUACAUGAUUCAUGUACAAUUAAUGUACAUUUAAAUUAGCUUUGUUCAAUGAAUACAGGUGUGAUUCAAAUAUCAUUCCUGUCUGGUACUUGGGUCAAAUAGACAUAAGCAUACCAAAUCAUGCUAUGAAUUGAAAUACAAGUAUAGGGUGUGUAUUGUUUAAAUAAAUAUAUUUUCCAGUUAACCCAGUAAGCUGCAUUGUGCCCCAAUGCACCCUACUUUACUAGUUUAUUUCACUUCAUCUAAUGCCAGAUGAUUUUACUUAUCGAGGGAGAGUGCUGCUGCUCAUUGAGCUCUGAUUGAGUUCACUGAAUGGCAGCACUUUCCCCUUGACGAGUGAAAUUGUCUGGUGAUAGACAGAGUAAAAUAAUCUUGGGUUCACUAAAGUAGCUACUUUUUCAAAAGCUCAACCAGGCUAAAGAUUCUUUG